AUGAACGCUAGCGGCAGGCCUAACACAUGCAAGUCGAGGGGCAUCACGAGGUAGCAAUACUUUGGUGGCGACCGGCGCACGGGUGCGUAACGCGUAUGUAACCUACCUAUAACAGGGGCAUAACACUGAGAAAUUGGUACUAAUUCCCCAUAAUAUUCGGAGAGGCAUCUCUCCGGGUUGAAAACUCCGGUGGUUAUAGAUGGACAUGCGUUGUAUUAGCUAGUUGGUGAGGUAACGGCUCACCAAGGCAACGAUACAUAGGGGGACUGAGAGGUUAACCCCCCACACUGGUACUGAGACACGGACCAGACUCCUACGGGAGGCAGCAGUGAGGAAUAUUGGUCAAUGGACGCAAGUCUGAACCAGCCAUGCCGCGUGCAGGAAGACGGCUCUAUGAGUUGUAAACUGCUUUUGUACGAGGGUAAACUCACCUACGUGUAGGUGACUGAAAGUAUCGUACGAAUAAGGAUCGGCUAACUCCGUGCCAGCAGCCGCGGUAAUACGGAGGAUUCAAGCGUUAUCCGGAUUUAUUGGGUUUAAAGGGUGCGUAGGCGGUUUGAUAAGUUAGAGGUGAAAUCCCGGGGCUUAACUCCGGAACUGCCUCUAAUACUGUUAGACUAGAGAGUAGUUGCGGUAGGCGGAAUGUAUGGUGUAGCGGUGAAAUGCUUAGAGAUCAUACAGAACACCGAUUGCGAAGGCAGCUUACCAAACUAUAUCUGACGUUGAGGCACGAAAGCGUGGGGAGCAAACAGGAUUAGAUACCCUGGUAGUCCACGCAGUAAACGAUGAUAACUCGUUGUCGGCGAUACACAGUCGGUGACUAAGCGAAAGCGAUAAGUUAUCCACCUGGGGAGUACGUUCGCAAGAAUGAAACUCAAAGGAAUUGACGGGGGCCCGCACAAGCAGUGGAGUAUGUGGUUUAAUUCGAAGCAACGCGAAGAACCUUACCAGGGCUUGACAUAUAGGUGAAGCGGAGGAAACACCGUGGCCGAAAGGAGCCUAUACAGGUGGUGCAUGGCUGUCGUCAGCUCGUGUCGUGAGAUGUUGGGUUAAGUCCCACAACGAGCGCAACCCCUGUUUCUAGUUGCCAGCAUGUAAAGAUGGGAACUCUAGAAAGACUGCCGUAGAUAAUACGGAGGAAGGUGGGGAUGACGUCAAAUCAGCACGGCCCUUACGUCCGGGGCUACACACGUGUUACAAUGGUAGGUACAGAGGGUCGCUACUCCGUGAGGAGAUGCCAAUCUCGAAAGCCUAUCUCAGUUCGGAUUGGAGGCUGAAACCCGCCUCCAUGAAGUUGGAUUCGCUAGUAAUCGCGCAUCAGCCAUGGCGCGGUGAAUACGUUCCCGGGCCUUGUACACACCGCCCGUCAAGCCAUGGAAGCUGGGGGUGCCUGAAGUUCGUGACCGCAAGGAGCGACCUAGGGCAAAACCGGUAACUGGGGCU
rnacentral:rRNA from 1 species